GUGUAGCCUGUGAGGUAAUCUGAAUUCCUUGGCAACCGGCAAGUACCUGAAUUCUUUCAAAACCGCAGGAAUCCAGCAGAGAAAAGAACAUUUGUGAAUGGCCCGAGAAUCUUCCUAUCUUAUUACCACUGCAUGAAAGCACAAUGUGAUCCUGGAUCCCAGCUAGGAAAGGCGAGUGUGUACAUAUACAGGCUCACUCAUGUGCGCGGAUAUGCAGAGCCUGCUGUGGACCAACACUGAACCAUUGGUCCCAGCGUGGGCAACAAGUGCUCUCAGAGGAACAGCCUCUCCGAGGGGAAGCAGGAGAACUGUGACCAUCCCUGACGCGAGUCCCAGAGGAUGAACACCCCACUGCAUGACCGGACCAGACUGCAAAGCCCAGCAGGUUAACAGAAUCAAAGCCAGGAAGUCUAGAGCAAACUUUCUCUUCCUCUCAUGCUUCCUCACGAUAGAGGAACAGUCUCUCUCUUGGACUUAUUGAGAAGACAACUAUCCGUCUAUCUAUCCUCUCUGUGUCGAAUCUGCUCUCCCCCACAGAAGCGGCUUCUCUCGAGGGAGGUAUUGAGAGAUGGUCAUGGUGUGCACACGCCCGGUGUCUUUAGCCACAAGGCACAGUGGUGAGGAGCUUGGCUUCUGAAACCAAACAGCUGUAUAAUUUACGGAAAGUUACUUAACCUCACUGUACCUUAGUCUUCUCCCCUAUAAAGCUGGGAAUAUUAACAGUUCCUACCUCAGAGUAAGGUACCACUUAGAAGAGGGCUUAACAGAAAGAAAAUGUUCAUCAGCUAUUACUGCUUCUAUUUCAGUUCAGUUCAGUCGCUCAGUCAUGUCUGACUCUUUGCGACCCCAUGGACUGCAGCACGCCAGGCCUCCCUGUCCAUCACCAACUCCCAGAGUUUACUCAAACUCAUGUCUGUCGAGUCAGUGAUGCCAUCCAACCAUCUCAUCCCCUGUCGUCCCCUUCUCCUCCUGCCUUCAAUCUUUCCCAGCAUCAGGGUCUUUUCCAAUGAGUCAGUUCUUUGCUUCUAUUUAGACUCUCCCUAAGGACCUGCCUCACUCCUUCUCUGUAUUUACACCUCUUCUGUGCACUAAGUCUACUGAGGCAGGCUCUGCCCACCAAGGAGCAAAACCCGAAAUAGCCUGUCUCCUCUGUUUGGACAUAAGGCGGUCUAAGUUCACCUUAAGGCAAAAGAAACAAUGACACCUGGAUGCAGGCCACACAUUCCUAUCUAGCUUAACCAACAAUACAGCGGACAUCCACAUUGCUAUUUCACUCCCAUGAAUAUAUUUCAAUUAGUCUAAACUCCAAGGAAACAGGGUGACUGACUGGUACCUCUAAACUCUAACACUAAAAGAUGCAUGAUACUUGUUUCUCCAAAGAACAUAAGUCACACACGUCCAAAAGUUGAGGUGACAAACAUUCCUUAAAUGACAAGAGGAAGAGAGAUACCAAAAAGGGUGCAUCUGUAGUUCAUAAGCAGAAGUAUAUCCAUCCUUACAUGGGCACUAACUCUUCACUGAGAAAGGACUUUUUGUAUUAGACAGGGGCACAUUUAUGACACGCCAAUGCGUCCUUACAUGCCUGACAGUGACAAGCUUACUAAGAAUAAACACACACAGACAUACUCAGAAUAAAGCAGUGUUAAAGGUAUCUCUGCAGCUGUUUUACUAAAGAAACAACUUUUUAAGGAUUUGAAAAGGCCUUGGGAGUAAAUAACUCUGCCCCAAGUUCAGUUGCUGGGGAUGGG